rnacentral:rRNA from 1 species
CCUACGGGAGGCAGCAGUAGGGAAUCUUCCACAAUGGGCGAAAGCCUGAUGGAGCAACGCCGCGUGGGUGAAGAAGGUCUUCGGAUCGUAAAACCCUGUUGUUAGAGAAGAAAGUUCGUGAGAGUAACUGUUCACGUUUCGACGGUAUCUAACCAGAAAGCCACGGCUAACUACGUGCCAGCAGCCGCGGUAAUACGUAGGUGGCAAGCGUUAUCCGGAUUUAUUGGGCGUAAAGGGAACGCAGGCGGUCUUUUAAGUCUGAUGUGAAAGCCUUCGGCUUAACCGGAGUAGUGCAUUGGAAACUGGGAGACUUGAGUGCAGAAGAGGAGAGUGGAACUCCAUGUGUAGCGGUGAAAUGCGUAGAUAUAUGGAAGAACACCAGUGGCGAAGGCGGCUCUCUGGGCUGUAACUGACGCUGAGGUUCGAAAGCGUGGGUAGCAAACAGGAUUAGAUACCCCGGUAGUC